GAUGAACGCUAGCGGCAGGCCUAAUACAUGCAAGUCGAACGGUGUCUUCGGACAUAGUGGCGCACGGGUGCGUAACACGUAUGCAACCUACCUUACAUUGGGGGAUAGCCUUUCGAAAGGGAGAUUAAUACCGCAUAAGACAGUAGCUGGGCAUCCAGUAGCUGUUAAAGAUUUAUCGAUGUAAGCUGGGCAUGCGUCCAAUUAGUUAGUUGGUGAGGUAACGGCUCACCAAGACGAUGAUUGGUAGGGGAACUGAGAGGUCAAUCCCCCACACUGGCACUGAGAUACGGGCCAGACUCCUACGGGAGGCAGCGGUAGGGAAUAUUGGGCAAUGGACGCAAGUCUGACCCAGCCAUGCCGCGUGCAGGAAGAAGGCGUUCUGCGUUGUAAACUGCUUUUAUAUAGGAAGAAACGACCCUUGCGAGGGGCAUUGACGGUAUUAUAUGAAUAAGCACCGGCUAACUCCGUGCCAGCAGCCGCAGUAACAC
rnacentral:rRNA from 1 species